UGUUUAGCUUUUUUCAAACAGAUGAAACAUUUGGUGGGCGAUGCUCUGGAAAUAAUGGUCAGAACUGCUUGCUAGAUAAUAACGCGGAGUGUGUACAUGGCUUAUGCAGGUGUAAAUAUGGUACCACUGGUCUAGGAGGCAAAUGUAUCACAGAUGAGACAUAUCAAGGUAGAUGUAUCGGUGAUGAUGGCGAAGCAUGUGAACUAGACCAAAAUGCUGAAUGCUGGGACAGUAUAUGUGUAUGCAAGAAGAACGCCAGUGAAAUUCAAGGAAAAUGUGAAAUUGGAAUACGUAACCAGGGGAACUAAAGGGUAAUACCUGCUCAAUAUUGUGUUUAGUGUACAUAGUGGAAGAAAUGAGGUGUCUUUAACUCUUCAGCCGGUGCAUCUAGCUUGUGUUUUGGAUGACUUCUAAAUGGAACUGAGAAUCAUUUUAUCAUUGUUUUUUUUCUGAAUCAGUUUUUCAACGAACAUGUAAAUUAAUGCAUCACUUUUCUGUAUGUCUUUUUCAUUCUUAUUCUUGUGGGUCAUGGUCGAGUUUAAUUUUACUUUGUAAUAUGCAGUUACACUAAAUAAGUAAACUAUGGUGACAUAUUUCUGCCGUAAGAUAACUAUAUAUAGACACCGAAAAGUGACCACGUCGUCGUCCCCUGGCAGCCAUGUUUUUUGACGAAUCAUAACAAGCUUGACAAAGAGUACAUAAGGACCAUUUGUGUGAAAUUAUUUUGAAGUUAGACUAGCAAAUUAAGAGGAGAUGUUGUUAGAAGACUUUUCUAUUUUUAGCUCUGGCGGCCCCUAUGUGCAACCAAGUGGAACCAUUGAACAAAUUUGAAAGGGGAACACCCAAGGAACAUCCAGGCCAACUUUCAUCAACUGCAACCCAAUGGUUUCAGAGGCAAUGUUUUUUGAAGACAAGUCUAUUUAAACCAUGUGCCCCCUGGGGCGGGGCCAUUUUUUAACCCAGGGGGAUAAUUUGAACAAUAUUGGUAAAGGACAACUAUACGAUGCUAAAUACCAAAUAUCAAAGCCCUAGGCAAUGUGGUUUUGUACAAGAAGAUUUUCAAACUUUUUCCCUAUGCAAGUCUAUUAAACCAUAUGACCCCCAAGGGCGAGGCCAUAUUUGACCCUAGUAAUAUAAUUUGAACAAUCCAGGUAGAGGCCCACUAGAUGCUACAUACCAAAUAUCAAAGCCCUAGGCCCUGUGGCUUUGGACAAAAGAUUUUCAAAGUUUUUCCCUAUAUAGGUCUAUAUAAACCAUGUGACCACCAGGGUGGAGCAAUAUUUGACCCUAGGGGGACAAUUUAAAUACUCUUGGUAAAGGUUGCCUUAAUAAUGCUACAUAUCAAAUAUCAAAGCCCUAGGCCCUGUGGUUUUGGACAAGACUUAAUAAUGUGACCUUCAAUUACGUAGGCACAAGUGGAACAUGGGUUCUCGUCUUGGAUAAGAUGAAACUUCAUUCCAGAGAUUCAUAGGGGAACGAAUACCGAAAUAUUUUAUGAUCAUGGUUACCUAUACCCCUCUGGCCAAAUAUGCAAUUUUAACCUUAGUUUUUCUACAUGGCUACAUUUCAUUUCAUCUUUUCGAUCCAAAACUAAGUUAUGGAGUGUUAGUAAUGGUGACACUGCGCAUUUGGAAUACAGUUCUGCACAUCGACUUGCGAAUAUUAUCAUGCCAUCUGAGUUUCACAAUUCACCAAAGGGGUUAAGAAGGGACGUAGCAGACAUGAAAUCCAAGGCUCAAACUGUCAAACACGUGACCUUGAAGUGUUACAUUGAUUUUUGACUGACAUCAUUGAAACAUGGUUUCUGCACCACAAGUUAAUAACAUGAACAUUCCAUCCAAGUUUCUUAAACAAUUUUCAUGUUUAGAAGAUAAUUAUGGAGAAUUCAAUGAUUGACCGAGUAAAGUUUUAACCAACAUUUGACUACUAUCACU